UGGAAGGUGAACACAAGCUAUUCUGUCUCCUGGACCCCGAAAAACAGUCCGAUGGACAGUUCCAAGCCCUGAUCCUGGCAGACCCCAUGACUUCUAGCCACAGGUGGAGGUUUACCAGUCUGGUUUAGCAGACUUUAGCACCUGAGACCAAGAGCUCCAGCAGCUCACUAGAUUCUGACCAUACCUGGAGGCAACCUGGUGAAAGAAGAGGCUUGGAAGGAACCAGCCCUCUGAGUCCCAGCUCCUCGCACACUCCAGGUGUGCCUAGGGAGCCCUCCCAUUUGACUCCACAGGGUCCUGUCAUGGCCCAUGGAGAGAGGUUGACCCUCCUGUGUUGCUCUGAUGUUGGCUGCAAAAUAUUCUCUCUGUCCAAGAAAAAGAUACAUCACCUUCCCCAGAGUUCUGGCCAGAAGUUCUCCCAAGAUGACUUCCCCUUAGGCCCUGUGAGCAUCUCCCAUGGGGGCCAGUACAGAUGUUCAGUGGACACAACCUCUCCUCUAGGUGGUCAGCCCCCAGUGACCCCCCUGGACAUCCUGAUCGCAGGACAGAUCCGUGAGACAGCCUCCCUCUUGGUGCAACCAGGCCCCACUGUGGUCUCAGGAGAGAACAUGGCCCUGCUGUGUCAGAUGCAAAGCUGGGUGGACAGACACUUUCCUUCUAUCUGAGGAGGAUGCAGCUGACAAGACCCCACCCUCGUAUCUAAUAUCAAAGUACCCUACUCUGUGGUAGAGGUUGAAUUCUCCAUGAGUCCUGCGACCUCAGCCCAUGCGGGGACCUACAGGUGCUAUGCCUCAUAGAGUGUUUACCCCAAGCUGUUGUUCCCCCAGUGACCUCCUGGUAAUACAGGAGUUACUAAGAAAUUGUUUUAGGCAGAUAGUAAGGGUAAAGGUUCUUGGUGGAAAUUUUCCAGUAAUAAGGAACAAUCCCUGAACCAUCUCUUUUCUAACAGAAAUGACAGCUUAAAUGGCCCGGCCAGCAAGCUUUAAUGUGCAAAUGCCAACCAUUAAAAACUGGGUUCACUCAA